CGUCCCGCCCGCGAGCAGUGAGUGACUGGGCAGAAGAUUGGUGAAGAAACCUCCAGAAGUUUCAUAGAUGUCAUAGACAUUCGGGCUGGAAGGGACCCUGGAGGAUCAUCGAGUCCAGCCCCAGGGCCAGGAAGUCAGCUGGGGUCACUUCCCAGGCCCAAUACCCUGCUCGCGGCUGCUGGGAUCAUGGCCAACAUCAGUGGGAACAACGUGGAGGUGAAUUUCCAGCGGGCCCAUGAGAUAUUCAUGUGAAAAUGCUUCAAUAAUUUGUAAGAACUAAAACAGCCUGGGAGAGAAGACCAUGAAGGUAAAGAAGGAGCAGGACCAGCGCUGCACCCUGGGGAAGGACAGGAGGUACAAGACCCUCCCUCUUUCCCAGGGAUAUAAAUCCCAGCGGACUGACGCCUUCCAAGUGCACCAGAGAUCUGCUGCCGUCCAGCUCCAAAAGAGAGAAAUAAAUAGAAAUUGCA